AGAGUUUGAUCAUGGCUCAGGACGAACGCUGGCGGCGUGCUUAACACAUGCAAGUCGAACGAGGUUCAAUCAAUCGCAAGAACGAGGACGACCUAGUGGCGAACGGGUGCGUAACACGUGAGGAACCUAUCCCAGUCUCUGGAAUAACAAGUGGAAACACUUGCUAAUACCAGAUGCCGUUGGAACACCGCAUGGUGAACCAACGAAAGAUUUAUCGGUCUGGGAGGGCCUCGCGGCCUAUCAGCUAGUUGGUGAGGUAACGGCUCACCAAGGCGUCGACGGGUAGCUGGUCUGAGAGGAUGAUCAGCCACACUGGGACUGAGACACGGCCCAGACUCCUACGGGAGGCAGCAGUGGGGAAUCUUGCACAAUGGGCGAAAGCCUGAUGCAGCAACGCCGCGUGCGGGAAGAAGGCCUUAGGGUUGUAAACCGCUUUCAGCAGGGAAGAAAAUGACGGUACCUGUAGAAGAAGGUGCGGCCAACUACGUGCCAGCAGCCGCGGUGACACGUAGGCACCAAGCGUUGUCCGGAUUUAUUGGGCGUAAAGAGCUCGUAGGCGGUUCGGUAAGUCGGGUGUGAAAACUCUGGGCUCAACCCAGAGCCGCCACCUGAUACUGCUGUGACUAGAGUGCGGUAGGGGAGCGGGGAAUUCCUGGUGUAGCGGUGAAAUGCGCAGAUAUCAGAGGAACACCAGUGGCGAAAGCGCCGCUCUGGGCCGUGACUGACGCUGAGGAGCGAAAGCGUGGGUAGCAAACAGGAUUAGAUACCCUGGUAGUCCACGCCGUAAACGUUGGGCACUAGGUGUGGGUCUCUACCAACGAGAUCCGCGCCGUCGCUACGCAUUAAGUGCCCGCCUGGGGAGUACGGUCGCAGACUAA
rnacentral:rRNA from 1 species